UUGCAGCAUAUGUAUUUAUAAUAUGAGAUAAUGCUAUUUACAGAUGUGCAUGAUACCAACAAGAAUAUGAACUUUUCAAAGAGCAUAUUUCCAAUUUUCCACAUCUCUAGAGCAGUGACCACAAAUGUACAUACAAGUACCCACAGAUGACAGCCAUAUUGACUCCAGUGGAUAAUAUUUACCUCCAUCAGCUGGUUACUACACUGUACAUAGUGGUCAAACCAGGAUAUCCACUAAUUGCUUUCAGUGAUGUGAAAUGUCAUCUACAUUUGUGCUUAUGAACUUUAGUAAACUGUCAAGUUUUAAUAUGAAGAAAAUGACUGCUGAAAAAGUAUCUAAUCUUGUGUUCUAUGAAUGUUUUCAAUUAAACACAAAACAAAAUG